rnacentral:rRNA from 1 species
GAUGAACGCUGGCGGCGUGCUUAACACAUGCAAGUCGAACGAUGAAGCCCAGCUUGCUGGGUGGAUUAGUGGCGAACGGGUGAGUAACACGUGAGUAACCUGCCCUUAACUCUGGGAUAAGCCUGGGAAACUGGGUCUAAUACCGGAUAGGAGCGUCCACCGCAUGGUGGGUGUUGGAAAGAUUUAUCGGUUUUGGAUGGACUCGCGGCCUAUCAGCUUGUUGGUGAGGUAAUGGCUCACCAAGGCGACGACGGGUAGCCGGCCUGAGAGGGUGACCGGCCACACUGGGACUGAGACACGGCCCAGACUCCUACGGGAGGCAGCAGUGGGGAAUAUUGCACAAUGGGCGCAAGCCUGAUGCAGCGACGCCGCGUGAGGGAUGACGGCCUUCGGGUUGUAAACCCCUUUCAGUAGGGAAGAAGCGAAAGUGACGGUACCUGCAGAAGAAGCACCGGCUAACUACGUGCCAGCAGCCGCGGUAAUACGUAGGGUGCGAGCGUUAUCCGGAAUUAUUGGGCGUAAAGAGCUCGUAGGCGGUUUGUCGCGUCUGUCGUGAAAGUCCGGGGCUUAACCCCGGAUCUGCGGUGGGUACGGGCAGACUAGAGUGCAGUAGGGGAGACUGGAAUUCCUGGUGUAGCGGUGGAAUGCGCAGAUAUCAGGAGGAACACCGAUGGCGAAGGCAGGUCUCUGGGCUGUAACUGACGCUGAGGAGCGAAAGCAUGGGGAGCGAACAGG